rnacentral:rRNA from 1 species
AUUGAACGCUGGCGGCAGGCCUAACACAUGCAAGUCGAGCGGUAGAGCGAAGCUUGCUUCUCUUGAGAGCGGCGGACGGGUGAGUAAUGCCUAGGAAGCUGCCUGGUAGUGGGGGAUAACGUUCGGAAACGGACGCUAAUACCGCAUACGUCCUACGGGAGAAAGCAGGGGACCUUCGGGCCUUGCGCUAUCAGAUGAGCCUAGGUCGGAUUAGCUAGUUGGUGGGGUAAUGGCUCACCAAGGCGACGAUCCGUAACUGGUCUGAGAGGAUGAUCAGUCACACUGGAACUGAGACACGGUCCAGACUCCUACGGGAGGCAGCAGUGGGGAAUAUUGGACGAUGGGCGAAAGCCUGAUCCAGCCAUGCCGCGUGUGUGAAGAAGGUCUUCGGAUUGUAAAGCACUUUAAGUUGGGAGGAAGGGCAGUAAAUUAAUACUUUGCUGUUUUGACGUUACCGACAGAAUAAGCACCGGCUAACUACGUG